GACUUCCCGUUUGACCAGUAAGUGCAACAUGUGCAACUAGAGCUGGUGGGUCCACGAUUCAAAGAGAAAGUGCAAGAGCACGUCAUUUUCGCGGGAACAUCUCCCGGCAACUGGCAAUGUAACAACAGCUUUCUGCAGAGGAAAAUCUUUUUUAAGUCGUAUUAUGAAAAUGUUGGUAAAAACAUGGCAACGUAACUUUUUUUAGCACUAUACUGGACCUCCUUACGUUAGGCGAUGGCUUGCAGUGGAGUAAGAGAGGAAAACUUUAAAACAUACAAUAAUUGGAUUUUUAUGGCGGCUUCUAAGAACAGUCUGGAGAUUCCUGUGCUGCUGUGGACAUGAUAACUCUGACGUUCAGUUCUCAGUUGAAGAAACAGCGCCAUCUCUUGGUGUCAGCACUGUACGACCAUGGAAUUAUGGUGGAGGUAUUAUCAGGACAGUUUAGAACACUUGAAUCAAGAUUAAGAAACAACUUUAAAUUUAGCACUUAUAAGAUGGAGGAUUGGCCCCCUUGAAAUCAUUGUUGCCCCAGCCACAUCUGUUGCAAAUUCCUGAGAGGAGCCGAUGUCGAGGUGGGACAGAGUUACUGGCGCUCUCGCCCCAUGAAGCGAAGAAUUAUGAAGUAUGAAGAAGGAGCUCUGGAACUACGUUGGGUUUGGUUUGGUCCAUGCAAAGCAGCAUUAGAGCAUAAUCUUGUCUAUUUGAUGGUAAUAGGGAGCCGUGCCACGUGUUGUCACUAAGAUUUAAUUUGACCAACAGUGUUGAGAUUUCUGAUGUCAAAUUAAUUCAAUCUCUCAUUAAUUCCUGCUUCAUCGUGAGCAAGAAUAUCAGAGCUCAGCACACAAUUUUAUACCAAAGUUCAACGAGAAUAUUUAAGGCCAGUUAGUAAGUAUAUUUCUUCUCUUUCAAAGAAAAUAGUCCCAAAAGAAGCCAAAGCAUCAAGCUAUCAAAUUAUGCACAGACUGGAUGUAAAUAAAUACAUUAUUGGAGUAUUGUCUUACUUCAUCAAAGCAUAAUAUCUUACUUUUUGUGCCACUGCAUUUAAUAAAUAUCGUUCCUCACUGAUCAUUCAUUUGAAAACAUGAUAGUGGUGUCUGAUAGAAUCAUUCUUUACCAUAGAGUGGGUAUAGAAAAGAAUCACCCCCCUUUAAAAUAAUUACAUUUUGUUGCUUUGCAGC